ensembl:lncRNA
UUGGACUCUGGAGCAGUGGAAACGCAUUCUCUGGAGUGAUGAAUCACUCUUCAUCAUCUGGUAGUCUGACACAUGAAUCUGGGUUUGGUGGAUGCAAGGAGAAUGCUACCUGCCCCAAUGCAUAGUGCCAACUGUAACGUUUGGUGGAAGAGGAAUAAUGGUCUAGGGCUGUUUUUCAUGAUUUGGGCUAGGCCACUUAGUUCCAGUGAAGAAUGACAAUGCCCCUGUCCACAAAGCGAGGUUGAUACUGAAAUAGUUUGUUGAGAUCGGUAUGGAAGAACUUGACUGACCUGCACAGAGCCCUGACUAAAAACCCAUCGAACACCUUUGGGAUGAAUUGGAACACCUACUGCAAGCCUGUCCUAAUCUCCUAAUAUCAGUGUCCGACCUCACCAAUGCUCUUGUGGCUGAAUGGAAUCAAGUCCUGGCAGCAAUGUUCCAACAUCUAGUGGAUAGCAUUCCCAGAAGAGUGGAGGCUGUUAUAUCAGCAAAGAGUGACCAAUUCCAUAGUAAUGCCCAUGAUUUUGGAAUGAGAUGUUUGACGAGCAGGUGUUCACAUUCUUUUUGGUCAUGUAGUGUAUGUAUGACUAAAACCAUACAGAGACAGUGUAGAAACGAUAAUGGACCUACAGUACCUUCAUGCAGUUUCUUGACUGUGUCCAACUCGUUAAUAAUCAUCAAAAUUAAAGAUAGACAGCCAGGGAGUAUAUGCAAUUCAAAAAAUGAUGGAGAGAGAACUAUUUUAGGCCAAUUUCUGAUGGCGAGGAAAUAUAAGACAUUUUAGUGCGCCCUCCGGACAUCGUCGAAGACCGAGUGCGCGAAUGCGAUCCGCAGGGGGAAAAUGAGUUUGACACCCUGAGUUAGAAAGACAAGAGUUUGUGAGCCUGUCUCCCAGACUCCCAGGACCAGAGAAAGAGUAACUGUGAUGGAGUUUUCUACAAUGAUCAUAUUCAUUUUAACGGAAUCAUAGUUUCACUGUCAGCUGGGUAUACCUACUGAUUAAAAAACGGAUACAGCAAAUUCGAGAACCUAACAUCGACAAUAACCAGUAGAUGUCACUAAUACAUCAUGUCAAAGCCAGAAUUACCCAAUUUCAUCCCAGAGCCAGUAUGUUCGCAGUUUCAACUACACACAUUGUCAUUAACUGUAACAUUUAUGUCUUCAAUGUCUAUAAAACGAGGAAUUAAUCAAAAGUCAAUUCAAAUAUCGACCAUGUGUAGCUAAAGUCACAUCACUGUUGUAAAAAAUGUAACUCCAAAGGUGGCUGUUUUACAAUUAACUAAGGAUGUAUUCAUUAUCUACAAUUAUUCAGG